GGAAUGUGGUUCAAUGGUAAAGUGAUUGCCUAGCAUGCUAGAGGACCUGGGUUCAAUCCCCAGCACCA
rnacentral:tRNA from 1 species